UUUUUUUAUAUUUAUCAAUUUCUAAAAUAAAAAGUAAUUCUAAAAUAAAAUAGCUUAAACUUUUAUAUUGGAUUACCUUAAUAAGAUAUAAAAAUUAUCUUUUAGUUGUAGAUUGUAUUAUAAGUCAUGUAAUCAAAGAUUUGUAUAUAAGGUGAACCACAAAAGCUUAUAAAAUUAUAAAUAAUUGUUUGUAGAUGAUUAUAAAUAUAUUUAUAAUUAUAUAAAUGUAUAUUUAUAAGGAUUUAUAAAUCAUAUUCCCUCUGUUCCUAAAAGUAGGAUUUUCUAGUGUUAUUUUUUGUUCCAAAAUAAUAGAUUUUCUAAAAUUUUAAGGUACUUUUAGUAGUUAAUGUUGAUAAAUUGUAUGUUUUUAAGAAAAAUUAAUUGAAAAUAUUUGAAUUGAUUAAAU
rnacentral:lncRNA from 1 species